UAAGCAAAUAUGAAAGUGUAAGGCUCAACCUUACGACUGUGUUUGAACUGAAGAACUAGAGGAUGGUAGAGGAAGUUGGAAUUCCUGGUGCAGGAGUGAAAUCCGUAGAUAUCAGGAGGAACACCAAUGGCGAAGGCAGACUUCUGGGCCAUUCCUGACACUGAGGCUCGAAAGCGUGGGGAGCGAACCGGAUUAGAUACCCGGGUAGUCCACGCCGUAAACGAUGGAUGCUA
rnacentral:rRNA from 1 species